rnacentral:rRNA from 1 species
AUUGAACGCUGGCGGCAGGCCUAACACAUGCAAGUCGAGCGAGCGGCGGACGGGUGAGUAAUGUAUGGGGACUGCCCGAUAGAGGGGGAUAACUACUGGAAACGGUGGCAAAUACAGCAUACUGUCGGAUAACCCAUAUGGGAUUAGCUAGUAGGGAAGGUAACGGCGUACCCAGGCGACGAUCCCUAGCUGGUCUGAGAGGAUGUUCAGCCACACUGGAACUGAGACACGGCCCAGACUCCUACGGAGGCAGCAGUGGGGAAUAUUGCACAAUGGGCGCAAGCCUGAUGCAGCCAUGCCGCGUGUAUGAAGAAGGCCCUAGGGUUGUAAAGUACUUUCAGUCGGGAGGCGUUACCAACAGAAGAAGCACCGGCUAACUCCGUGCCAGCCGCCGCGGUAAUUC